CACUGUGUGAGGUGUACGUACUGACGACACGUGAUAGCCUACUGGGCUCUAUGAAUGGAAAUAUCGACAGAAUAUAGUAUCAUUAAAAACAAAAGUGCAGAUGUAAAUCAACCAUGCACGGGGAACUAAUUCUGAUGAUCAAAUCUUGUCAGGAUAAAAUGAUUGUACAUGUGGUGUAACAUUAGAAUAAAACUCCACUGACGGAAUGCCUCGGAAUCAUUGGAUUGCAAUCAACGACGGAGCAGCACGGACUAUCGAUAGGCUAUGUACUGCCUGUAGCCUGGUCGACUCCUCUCGUACGACAGCCUACUGAGAUCGGUCUGUGGAAGUCUUUCAUUGUCUUUGUCAUUUCAUGAGGUUAGACAUACCAGAAUAAUGAAUGAAUUAUGUGUGUGAGUUGACAGGUGUGUCGAGAAUCGGUAUGGUAGUUUAACAACAGCGAUGUCGGCCUGGCAGUUGAUGCGGCACGCACCUGUAGCCUGCUGCCAAAGUGAUGAAGAAUGUUUGUAAGAGAAGAGAAGAAGAGAAGAGGAGUAGACAACUUGUGACCUCUGUGAAACUGAUAACAAGGAAGGAAGUCCCCCCACACAAAGAGGGGAGAAACUGUUGGGCUUGCAGUAGACAGUGCCACAUGUUGUAGGAUGUGAUAAGCAAUGUAUGCGUAGGAGAAAACUUGUCGACUAUAUUGUCAUUGUUUGAGAAGAGGAGGGACGUUUAUGACGAAAUGGAAGAUGUAUAAACCAAUGUACAUCAUAUGAUUGGGGAGAGCUCUCGUAAAUAAACGUUGCUGACUAUUGUAGACCUUGCCUCUUGUCUGUUUCAUUUCAACAAGAAUCUGACAAAUUCUUGGUAACAGACCGAGUAGUUUAAUUGAAGUUCAGUUUAUGAACAUUGAGAACAUAAUUCUAGCGGCAUGCAUGCAUGGAUUAACCUGAAGUGAUACAUGAACUAAUGGAUAUUCUGCCAUAGACAGGACAAGUUACUUUC
ensembl:lncRNA